CGACAUCGAGCGUCUUCAUCUAUUCUAACGCAGAAGCAGGCAAUCCCCGCCACAGCCUGCAAAGUGUGCGAUUUCCCUGCGGGUAUCAGAAGAAAUUGUUAAUAUGAUCUCACUGAAACCGAACAACUUUACUACAUAAUCAUAGGUUCCUAAUAUUGUAAAGUCACAGGAAGUUUUCCGCGACUGUCACACUGAUAUUGGGGUGGUGGAGCAUAACCAGCUGCAGCAGCUCCAUCGCCAAACAGACUUAGAACUUUGAGUUAUGUGCGAACGUCGACACCGUCUACAGCAGGGUUAGCACGAGCUCUGGCACUAACUCUAUGGCAAAGCACAAACCGCAAGAUGAGGCUAUGGGAGAUACGUCCUGCUGGCUUGAGGAUCAAAUAUCUCGGCGAUUAGUUGCUGAGACAGGUGAAGGGUGUGCAUCCCAGAGCCUUGGUUUAUCAGCGGGCUCAUUAAUAACGAGUGAAGCUAAACAACCGGUCACAUCAUUGCUCCCAGACGAGAAGAAGCCCACAGAGUUCUGCGCAUAUCGUGCGAAAAAACUCACUCCCUUUCCGAAGGCACACCUGAAUGUGCACAAUGAAGAAGAGGAAGAAGAGAACACAGCGACGAGUAGUAGAAGACAUGAAGAACGCGCCAGCUGUACCCCUUCAAAACCGCGGUCAGGGCUCUUGUGUGGAGCCUGCAGCUGCUUCUCCAAGUCCAAAGACAAAAGAAGACCAAAUGACGAUUUAGGCUGGAAGAAGAGAGAUGAACAGGUGGGUGGAUCGGCGCAGUGGGAGACAGACAUCUAAGAGGGCGAAGAUGGGAGCACGCUCAGUUGAAAUCGCAACCAUAGUAAUAUGGCAGGAGCUUUUGACGAGAGGAAGAAAGAUAGCAGAUGUCAUUUUAUGGUCGGUGAAAAGAAUUCCUCAGACUUGGUAAGCAAGGAAGUCGCGGACACCAACAGCGAUUCGCCUCGUGGCGAUCCUUUUCCUACAGGUAACGACGCAUGCAAAAAAAGGAAAUUCCACUUCCGUUUUUUCAAACAUUUCCCGCUAUUGACACGUACCAAGCCACAUCAGGUCAGUUGGGAUUCGUCCCGAGGGACUGCAAAGGAUGGGCAUUGUUCCGACAAAACGCCAGCAGCUUCUACUACAGUGUUCAGUCCUUCUCACUCGAUUCUGUCGUCACGAUCCAAGAUGAAGAUAUCAGACAGCUCGCAGCAAUCUGAAGUCAAAAGGGUUAGCUUCCGGGAAACCGCGGAAGUGAUGCAGUCCCUUGAUAAGUCGUGAUUCCCGUUGUCUGAUGUUUCUGGGGGCGGUUCCCCAUAAAAGGGCUGCUUUAAUAAGAAAUCAGAGAAAUUUGAGCUUUACUGGUCUCCAGGAUGUUUUUUGAGCUUCUCAAUAAACUGGACAAGCUGUUAACAACUGUAAUACUGUGACUAGUCGGUUGACGGAAGUGACGUGCAGGGCAGUGGAUGGCAAUCACUGUUGUUGAUCGACUGCUGUUGUUUUAUAUAUAUAUACUCGAUUGAAAAUAAAAUUUAAAUGGCCACAAA